UAAGGAAUAUUGGUCAAUGGACGAAAGUCUGAACCAGCCAUGCCGCGUGAAGGAUGAAGGUCCUCUGGAUUGUAAACUUCUUUUAUCUGGGACGAAAAAAGGGAAUUCUUUCUCACUUGACGGUACCAGAGGAAUAAGCACCGGCUAACUCCGUGCCAGCAGCCGCGGUAAUACGGAGGGUGCAAGCGUUAUCCGGAUUUACUGGGUUUAAAGGGUGCGUAGGUGGGCAGGUAAGUCAGUGGUGAAAUCCCCGGGCUUAACCCGGGAACUGCCAUUGAUACUAUCUGUCUUGAAUAUCCUGGAGGUGAGCGGAAUAUGUCAUGUAGCGGUGAAAUGCUUAGAUAUGACAUAGAACACCCAUUGCGAAGGCAGCUCACUACGGGAUCAUUGACACUGAGGCACGAAAGCGUGGGGAUCAAACAG
rnacentral:rRNA from 1 species